AGUGAACGCUGGCGGUAGGCCUAACACAUGCCAGUCGAACGGCAGCACAGUAAGAGCUUGCUCUUACGGGUUGCGAGUGGCGGACGGGUGAGGAAUAUAUCGGAAUCUACUUUUUCGUGGGGGAUAACGUAGGGAAACUUACUCUAAUACCGCAUACGACCUACGGGUGAAAGCAGGGGAUCUUCGCACCUUGCGCGAUUGAAUGAGCCGAUGGUGGAUUAGCUAGUUGGCGGGGUAAAGGCCCACCAAGGCGGCGAUCCGUAGCUGGUCUGAGAGGAUGAUCCGCCACACUGGAAGUGAGACACGGUCCAGACUCCUACGGGAGGCAGCAGUGGGGAAUAUUGGAAAAUGGGCGCAAGCCUGAUCCAGCCAUACCGCGUGGGUGAAGAAGGCCUUCGGGUUGUAAAGCCCUUUUGUUGGGAAAGAAAAGCAGCAGGUUAAUACCCCGCUGUUCUGACGGUACCCAAAGAAUAAGCACCGGCUAACUUCGU
rnacentral:rRNA from 1 species